GAUGAACGCUAGCGAUAGGCUUAACACAUGCAAGUCGAGGGGCAGCAUGGUCUUAGCUUGCUAAGACUGAUGGCGACCGGCGCACGGGUGCGUAACGCGUAUGCAACUUGCCUCACAGAGGGGGAUAACCCGUCGAAAGACGGACUAAUACCGCGUACACUUGGAGGGAGGCAUCUCCCAUCAAGGAAAAGAAAUUCGCUGUGAGAUAGGCAUGCGUCCCAUUAGCUAGUUGGUGAGGUAACGGCUCACCAAGGCAACGAUGGGUAGGGGAACUGAGAGGUCGGACACCGACACGGGGAGUGCGACACGGGCCGGUAUCCGACGGGAGAUAGCAGUGAGGAAUAUUGGUGAAUGGGCGAGUGACUGAUCCAGCGGAGUCGCGUGAAGGACCACUGUCUUAAGGAUUGUAAACUUCUUUUGUAGGGAAAUAAAGAACGGUACGAUUACCGUAGUGAAUGUAACCUACGAAUAAGCAUCGGCUAACUCCGUGCCAGCCGCCGCGGUAA
rnacentral:rRNA from 1 species